UGGAUAUGUAACUUCAAUUGCCACAACUGAUGAAGUUGAAGGAGAAGAUUAUGAUGGAGCAGUUGCCAUUGGAGGCAGGCAAACUUUCACAGCACCAGCUGCGAUUCUCAAUGAUGUGGCAGGAGAAGACUUUCACCCAUUUGCUGAACAUCGGAUAUCAACUAUUGCUGAUAGAGAAGAUGAAUACAGAGCAAUGCGUUGGAAGUUGAUUAUUUCCCCAGAACGUGUUGAUUCAUUUGCUGAAGAGUGCCAUAGCAACCAGUUAAGUUAAAAGCUCUUGGAGGUGGAUUAUUCACUUGUGGGCCAGGAGCUGAUCUGCUCAAAUUCCCC